rnacentral:tRNA from 1 species
GCAUCAAUAAUUCAGUGGUAGAAUAACAGAUUUCCAAUCUGUUAACCUGGGUUCGAUUCCCAGUUGAUGCA